GCGUGCCACUUUCAAAGAUGGCGGCAGAGCUUACGUGCAUGCGCACGAGGGAGGCUUGAAGUCGGUGUUGCUUCUGAGGAGAGCCGGCUGGAGCAUGGCGUGAGUUUGAUGCGGGAGGCCGAGCGGCUUCGGAAACCCAAGUGGCUUACAUGGUUGUCCUUCUUGGUUUAUUCUCCUGACAACCCUGUGAGGUCAGCGGACAGCCCAAAGUUACCCAAUAAUUAAAGAUGUCGGAAGGGACUUCAAGCAAUGAUCCUGGGCAUCCCGUUGGCAUCCGGCCCACACUUACUACUGCGCGAGGGCUGCUAGGGAGAAGAACCACGGCCCCUAUUACCCCAGGCCGCCUGCCUUCCAUUCGCUCCCGAGACCUGACCCUUGGUGGAGUCAAAAAGAAAACAUUUGCCCCCAACAUAAUUACCAGGAAAAUCAAAGAAGAACCAAAAGAGGAUAUUUCCAUCAAGAAAGAGAAAAAGGAGCGUGAUCGAGACCGGCAGAGAGAUGGUCAUGGACGAGGCCGAGGGAGGCCAGAGGUCAUCCAGUCUCACUCCAUCUUUGAGCAAGGACCAGCAGAAAUGAUGAAAAAGAAAGGCACCUGGGAUAAGACUGUGGAUGUAUCUGACUUUGGUCCAUCCCACAUCAUUAACAUAAAGAAAGAGAAAAGAGAGACAGAUGAGGAGACCAAGCAGAUUCUGCGCAUGCUAGAGAAGGAUGAUUUCCUUGACGACCCGGGCUUGAAAAAUGACAUCCGGAACAAGCCAGUUCAGCUGCCUCUGGCCCAUUCAGGCUGGCUUUUCAAGGAGGAAGGUGAUGAGCAAGAGGAUGUCAAGCCUCUGAGCUCCAGCCCCAAGGAGGAGGAGAUGGAAGUAGAUGUCUCUUCCGUGAAAGUGAAAGAGGAGCCCCGUGAUGAAGAUGAGCCACCUCCGGCCCUCAGACAUGUGCCUGCAAAGGCACCACCUCCCUUCCCUCAGGAUGUCUCUGUGGCCGAGCUGCUGCAAAGGUUGAACCUCUGCAAAGAGGAUGAGUUGCUCUUCCUGCAACUCCCAGAUACGCUGCCCGGGCAGCCACCCACCCAAGACACCAAGCCCAUCAAGACGGAGGUGCAGAAUGAGGACGGGCAGGUGAUGGUUAUAAAGCAAGAGAAGAACCAGGAAAUCAAGGAAACAGAGAACAUCUGCACCCUGGGAGACCUGUCUGAAGGGCAAGUGGGGAAGCUGCUGAUCCGCAAAUCAGGGAAGGUGCAACUAGUUUUGGGCAGAGUGACUCUAGAUGUGACCCCAGGAACUCCCUGCUCUUUCCUUCAGGAACUUGUGUCAGUGGGCAUCGGGGACAGUAGGAGUGGCGAGAUGAUUGUCCUGGGCCACGUGAAGCACAAGCUUGUCUGCGCACCAGAUUUUGAAUCCCUGCUGGAACAGAAGCAUCGGUAACAAGACAGAGAGGACGGUGGUAAAGGCCUGUGCCAAUCCUACUAGCCCUUCUUGGAGUUUCUUAUAAACAACAGUGACUUGUGCUGUCUAGAAGUGCCUUGUUCCUAAGCUGAUGAGCCCCCAAAAGUUCCUCAGAAUACUCUCCUAGAAAGAUCAGCCACUCUUUGCUGCCUUAGGGCCUCUAGAACUGUAAAGCUGCCCAUGGGUUAUAUUCUAAUAGCAGCAGAAGCCAAGAAGAGGGCACUUCCUUCCUCACAGAUCCAGUUUAAAAGCAACUUCCCUUUGGAGGACAAGUCUUGCAUUUGAACAUUUGUACUGGCUGUGUUGAAGUCAUCCAGUGUUGUGCUCCUGAGACACUGGAACCUUAAGCAGAAACCAGGAGGGGGUUUGGCAGAUCUCUGACUUGGAGCACAGGAUGAACGAAGAGAAUUCCCUCAUUCCAAAUCCCUGUAGGAGAGCUUGGGAUACUGGUAAUAGCAGCAAAGGGAGAUGAAACAGAGAAAGUGGCUAAGGCUGCCCGAUUUGAGAAGUUUGCAACUCAUUGGUCAAGAAUGGACAUCACUGUAGAAAGGUGAACAACAAGAAGCAUAUCUUUUUUCCCACUUUGCAUAGUUACUCCAAGCAUUUAACAGGCAUUAAGCAAGUUUUUCAGUAAGAUCCCAGGAUCUUGUGGCUUCUUGUAAAUACAUCCUCCUCAGAUUAAGUAGGUAGGAGACAGAGUUUGUUUUCUUAGUUUCAGCUUUGAACUUGUGCUUAGAUUAAUGUAUUCCCUCCUCAAAGCAACAUAUUUACAAAUAUUGACUAAUUUAUUAAAUCUAUUAUCUAAUUUAUCUCUGAUGUUCACCAUGUUAAGUUUUCUAAGCAGCAGCAUGUCUUAGUGCACAUUUAGAGGAAAUAUUUAGAAGAAAUAUUUGUGCUGGAAAAAUUAUGGAUAAAUGUGAUCUCUUGGUGACUGUGACAUGAGAGCCAGGUUUGUGGUGUUUGACUGUGAGAAACAGACACCACCACCCAAGUUUUUAUGAUAACUCUUCAUUGAGGUUAAUCACACCUCAAAUUUUUAAAAGAAAGAAUAACUUUUCUUGACAAAGGUCUGAACUCAUCACAAGCCAGAGGGCUUUUGAAAUUCAUCCAAGGCUGCUGGUAGCCCAGCUCUGGCUUAGAUACCUUUUAAGAAAGGACAAGCACAUGCCUUGGAAGCUUUUCUAGCAGUUACGAUAUACACUAGCUACAAAGAAUGACCAUUUCCAAAGGCUGAAUACAUCUGGAAAUCAGAUGUUGUGGAUAUAGAAAAGGGAACAUUAUCACCUUUAUACUUCCACAGAUGUAGUCAUUUCUCAGUGCAAUUUUCUACAUAUAUGCCCACUCAAUAGUAAGCCCAUGGAGUUCAGUGAAACUUGCUUCCAGGACCUUGGCUAAGAAUGCUUUCUGUUGCCACAAGCAUGACAGAGCCCUGUACCAGCUUAAAGAAUAACACAUACAUCGUGGCAUAAACUUUGUGGACCAGAUUAUCUUCAGUCAGUUUUAGGGUACUUCUAGAAGCAUUAGGGUGGUGGUCACUGGAAGAAGCAUCACUGGAGUAGAUAGGUCUGGAGUAUCUUAUCUACACUACACUAUGCCGGAGACUGUCUACACUCGAGUAGAUAGAUGGGGGGAGGACAGAAUGUUCAGCUGUCAUUUAGUAGGAUUGAUAAUCAUAUUCCUGUGUAGACAUGAAAUAGAUACCAUGGUGUUCUUCCCCUCUGCCCCCACCAAGGGUACCUGCUUGCACAGUUGGAGACACUAAGGACUUUCUUCAUUGGUGCCUGAGAAGUUUGAAGGAUUAUGUCACAAUGUAAGCCUUUCUCCUAGGUUGGGGAGCUAAUGCCACUUGCUAGCUGAUGGAGAGGCAAUGAAAGGGAAAUUGAGGAAGGAGAGGGGAAACUUUUAAAACCUGCCUGUUUUGGACAAACUGCUAGUUUUGAAGCCAGUGAGACUUUAAAUUGGAGAGGAAUGACACUGUGGUUUCAUUCCUUGAUUAUUUUUCUUUUAAAUAUAUUAUUUGUAUAAAAGAUGCUAUUGUAUGCUUUUAAGUAAGAAAAGAGCAGAAGUAAAAGACUAGAACUCAUUCUCUUCUUAUAAGUCAAUCCCUCAGUAUAUGUGUAAUUGAUUUCUAAAGAGAAAGUCUAAUCUUUUCUAAGGUUUGGAAAUAGGCUCAUUCAGCUUGCUGAUACAUCUCUGCUCAGAAUUAAUCAGGUACAGGAUGCAGCCCAAAAUGACAGGAUCUAAGAGAAAUUACCUAUUUCAUCUAUGAAAAUGAUGCAGGGUUGGAUCUUCGUUGCCAAUGAGAAAACUGCAGCUGUGAGCUUCUGGGACUCUCCGUACCAUUUAUCAGUCAGGGUAGAUGCCUGCAGGUUUAUAAACUUGCAUCCUGAGGCCUGGGCUGUUGCUUUCGCAAGAAGGGUUUUGCCACAGCCCGGAGGACCAUAAAGUAGGACACCUGGUGAAGAAGCAAACUCUGAAAGUAUCGGCUCACACUUUACCCUUUCUUCUAUGGAAGGGCCAGCUCCUGGUUUCUGAGGAUGCUUGGGCAAGCUGUCCUCUGUGGGCUGCCUGCCCCAGCAAACCCACCCUCUCCCCACCUUGGUCGCCAGUGACUGUUGCUCUUCAUCUUUCUCUUCACUGCCAUCAUUUACUGCCUGGCAGGCAUAGCGCCAGGGAGCAAGAAGGUAGCAUCAGCUGUGGCAGCUCCCCACAACUCUGUUGUCUAGGCCAGAGGCAAGUGUGCAAGUGUGUUGCAGCAGGGAAGUGAAUGCAAGGGUCCACAUGGAAGUAAAGGGAGAGAAAGUAAAGAACAAUUCUUUUUUUCACUUGGUGAAUUGUUCUUUUUGUUUCUACCCAACUGGGAAUAAUAAAUUUCUCAAAUA